rnacentral:rRNA from 1 species
AAAGCGUGGGGAGCAAACAGGGAUCGUAUACCCCGGUUGUUCUCCUUGUAAACAAUUUAGAUUUAGUGGUUGUGGUCUUUAGUAGUGGCUUCUGCAGGAAACGAGUUAAUUCCGCCGCCUGGGGAGUUCGGGCGCCAAGUUAAAAAUUAAAUUAAAUGACGGGGGGCCCGCCCCCACCGGCGCGGCAUUUGCUUUAAUUCGAUGCAAAGCGAAGACCCUCCUCUUUUUCUUACCAUCCAGGAAAUCUUUUUAGAUAGUUNGGAGUUGCUCUUGGGGAAAUCCGAGAACAGAUGCGGUUUUCCCUUUGUCCGCUCUCGUUGUGAAAUGUAGGAUUAAGUCCCACCAACGAGCGCAACCCUCAUCCUUUGUUGGCAGCACGCAAGGGCGGGAAAUCAAAGGAGACUGCCAGUGAUAAACCGGAGGAAGGUGGGGAUGACGUCAAGUCAUCAUGGCCCUUACGAGUAGGGCUACACACGUGCUACAAUGGCAGAUACAAAGAGAAGCGACCUCGCGAGAGCAAGCGGACCUCAUAAAGUUUGUCGUCCUCCGGAUUGGAGUCUGCAACUCGACUCCAUGAAGUCGGAAUCGCUAGUAAUCGUAGAUCAGAAUGCUAUCGGUGAAUACGUUCCCGGGCCUUGUACACCACCGCCUCGUCACACCAUGGGAGUGGGUUGCAAAAGAAGUAG